ensembl:lncRNA
AGUCAGGGGCUCUUGAAAAUCCGUCCACUUAUAUAUGUACCUACAUGGGCGCUCUUGGGAGCAGAGUUAUUUUGAACAUCUGGCCUUGAAUACAUUAUUCAGUAGUCCAGCUCUCCUAAAAUUAAGAUGUGGUCGGUUAAUAGAGACAGUCUGGCUGGCUAGCUAUUGCCUGGGUUUUCCGUCUUUUUGAAAACCACCUAAGAAAGCAUGGUCUACAAGUACAUUUGGUGGCUUGCAGAAUUAUAAAGCACAGUUGCCAUGUCAUUAAAAAUGCCCCUUUCCCUCCCUGACUCACCCCAGCCCUGUUAAAUUGGAUUCACUGAAGUAGCUUUGCACAAGGGAAGUUUUUUAACCGUGCUCCUCUUUUUAGGGGAGGACAGUGCCCCAUCUAGUGGUAACUUGGGGUUAAAGGAGAAUAAAGCCUUCGCUCUGGCACUCUGGAACAGCACACAUCUACCUAGGAGUGAGGAGCCCAUUUCUGCAUCCCGGAAUGGACAUUGGAGAGUCGAAUCACACCCCUGCCAUCCGUCUCUGGUCCGAGCAGAACCUGCAGCUCCCUCGUGCUUUUUAUGUUUUGUUCAGCGAGCGGCUGAUUUUGUGAGUUUGCCAGAAGAGUUAAGACUCUUUGCAUAUCUCGCCCCAGCGCCUGCUGUUAUAAAGUCUGUGAGAUUAGUGGAGACUCCUUGGGGUGGGGGCAGACAAUUGGUCAUCUUUUACAUUACGCCUCUACCCCGAUAGAACGUGACCCGAUAUAACACGAAUUCGGAUAUAACGCGGUAAAGCAGCGCUCCGGGGGGGCGGGGCUGCGCACUCCGGUGGAUCAAAGCAAGUUCGAUAGAACGCGGUUUCACCUAUAACGCGAUAAGAUUUUUUGGCUCCCGAGGACAGCGUUAUAUCGAGGUAGAGGUGUACUGUAAACUCGCUCCAGGUGCAACUUCACCCUUCCCUCUUCCACAUGUCACCAGCCUCCAAUGAGCGAGGCACGAGAUUGCAGCGUCCGUAGACUUAGCCGGCCAAUUGGUCAGUAAGGGCCUGAAAUCCAUGGGCGAGUCUUUCAAUUUACUUCACUGAGUGCCGGAGUGAGACCCACGGGCCUGAGGCAUGAGGGCCCUGAGUGACUUCCUGGAUGGCUAAGGGUGCAGCUGCCAUCUCGUGUCUUCCUCAGGAGGCGCUCAGCGCCAGGCUGAAUCAGGCACCCCUGGAGCCAUCGCAAAGUUUUAGGUUUACCCCUAAGUGUCCCGUUGGAAAUUAUGAAGGACACAAAAUAUUUAGAGCUGGUUGAAAUUUUUCAAAUUCCAGGAGAAAAAUAUUCCUGAAAAUGUUCCCCAGUUCCCCAUCUAAUCUCUCCAGCAGCUCCAACAACAUUAAACCAGAUGCUAAUUUACUUCCCAGGGCAGAGCAAUUAUCCUAGGACUAUCCACAGAGGGUAAAUCCUCCUGGAGUGAGCACCUGUAACUCCCAUUGGUUUUAAGUGGCUAUUGCAGGGGCUCCCUGGGGUCCAAUGGGAAUUUUGCCAUCGACUUUAAUGGGGCCAGGAUUUCGACUUGUUCUGCGUAGCACGUUGUGUGCCUGUGGAUGGGGAUAGCUGUGCUGCCUUGUACACACUGGGAGCUGGACUUUACGACACAGGGUGCUGCUGGCAUCCGCCAUCACCUAAUGCAGCGUCUAUGCAGGCUGCUGUGGGACCCACAUCACAUGGCUCCAUGCCCAAGUGUAACAGCAACAGACCCCGGUCGUC